UGGGGAAUUUUGGACAAUGGGCGAAAGCCUGAUCCAGCAAUGCCGCGUGUGUGAAGAAGGCCUUCGGGUUGUAAAGCACUUUUGUCCGGAAAGAAAUCCUUGGCUCUAAUACAGUCGGGGGAUGACGGUACCGGAAGAAUAAGCACCGGCUAACUACGUGCCAGCAGCCGCGGUAAUACGUAGGGUGCAAGCGUUAAUCGGAAUUACUGGGCGUAAAGCGUGCGCAGGCGGUUUGCUAAGACCGAUGUGAAAUCCCCGGGCUCAACCUGGGAACUGCAUUGGUGACUGGCAGGCUAGAGUAUGGCAGAGGGGGGUAGAAUUCCACGUGUAGCAGUGAAAUGCGUAGAGAUGUGGAGGAAUACCGAUGGCGAAGGCAGCCACCCGUGGGCCAAUACUGACGCUCAUGCACGAAAGCGUGGGGGAGCAAAACAGGAUUAAUACCCUGGUAGUCCACGCCCUAAACGAUGUCAACUAGUUGUUGGGGAUUCAUUUCCUUAGUAACGUAGCUAACGCGUGAAGUUGACCGCCUGGGGAGUACGGUCGCAAGAUUAAAACUCAAA
rnacentral:rRNA from 1 species